rnacentral:rRNA from 1 species
GACGAACGCUGGCGGCGCGCUUAACACAUGCAAGUCGAGCGAUGAAACACCUUCGGGUGUGAAUUAGCGGCGAACGGGUGAGGAACACGUGAAGAAUCUGCCUUCAACUCUGGGAUAACUCCGGGAAACCGGGGCUAAUACCGGAUAUGAGCCUUGAUCGCAUGAUCGGGGCUGGAAAGUUUUUCGGUUGAAGAUGACUUCGCGGCCUAUCAGCUUGUUGGUGAGGUAAUGGCUCACCAAGGCGACGACGGGUAGCCGGCCUGAGAGGGCGACCGGCCACACUGGGACUGAGACACGGCCCAGACUCCUACGGGAGGCAGCAGUGGGGAAUAUUGGGCAAUGGAGGAAACUCUGACCCAGCGACGCCGCGUGAGGGAUGAAGGCCUUCGGGUUGUAAACCUCUUUCAGUAGGGAAGAAGCGAAAGUGACGGUACCUACAGAAGAAGCACCGGCUAACUAUGUGCCAGCAGCCGCGGUAAUACAUAGGGUGCAAGCGUUGUCCGGAAUUAUUGGGCGUAAAGAGCUCGUAGGUGGUUCGAUACGUCGGAUGUGAAAAUCAGGGGCUCAACCCCUGACCUGCAUCCGAUACGGUCGAGCUAGAGUUUGGUAGGGGAGACUGGAAUUCCUGGUGUAGCGGUGGAAUGCGCAGAUAUCAGGAGGAACACCGAUGGCGAAGGCAGGUCUCUGGGCCAAUACUGACACUGAGGAGCGAAAGCGUGGGGAGCGAACAGGAUUAGAUACCCUGGUAGUCCACGCCGUAAACGGUGGGCGCUAGUUGUGCGAACCUUCCACGGUUUGUGCGACGCAGCUAACGCAUUAAGCGCCCCGCCUGGGGAGUACGAUCGCAAGAUUA